rnacentral:rRNA from 1 species
UACGUAGGGUGCAGGCGUUAAUCGGAAUCACUGGGCGUAAAGCGUACGUAGGCGGUUUGUUAAGUCAGGGGUGAAAUCCUGGAGCUCAACUCCAGAACUGCCUUUGAUACUGGCGAUCUUGAGUUCGGGAGAGGUGAGUGGAACUGCGAGUGUAGAGGUGAAAUUCGUAGAUAUUCGCAAGAACACCAGUGGCGAAGGCGGCUCACUGGCCCGAUACUGACGCUGAGGUGCGAAAGCGUGGGGAGCAAACAGG